UGGUCUCUCUUUGAAAGAGGCUGGUUUAAGGGUGCAACCAAAUCUGCAGCGUUCAAAAGUUGCAUCAAUAGUACGGAUUUUCCGGCAACACAACAUGCAUCUUUCCAUGAAAACUGAACUACAUAUUACGGUUGCCUCCCACAGGAGGGAUGGUUUGCUGUUACACAAACCACUCAUUGUCCCCUACAAUAGAGAGAGGCUCAUGUCUUUCCUGGAUGACCUGCAUAAUCGCCUUGCGCCAGCGGAGGAGAGAGGAGCAAGAAACUCCCCUAUCUUUGUUGUUGUGUGGGAUAAUGUGGCAUUUCACCACUCUGCUGCAGUUACAGACUGGUUUGCUGCACAUUCCAGGAUGUCAGUACUGUUCCUGCCUCCAUACACCCCCUUCCUAAACCCCAUAGAGGAGUUUUUCUCUACAUGGAGGUGGAAGAUGUAUGACCACCAUCCACAUGACCAGAUGACCUUACUGGAUGCCAUGAAUGCGGGACGUGGAGACACUUCUCCUGAAGACUGCCAGAGUUGGAUUAGACAUUCCAGAAGAUACUUUCCAAGAUUCAUCGCCAGGACAUAAGAUGUGAUGUUUAUGAGAACUUGUGGCACAAAUGCAGCAGAGAGGGAGGACUAGCACCCUCAGGGGGCCCGUGUUUGGGUCAGAGAGAAGGAGCAGCUGGUUCCCGCCACAGUCAACUCAUGUGGAGAUGGAACCCUUGUCGUCACAACCGACUAUGG